UUGGUACAACGUAAUUUUGUGAACUCCCAGGCACGUGCUGACAACUAUCCACACAACGUUGGCACAACGUAAUUUGUGACGUAAUUUAUUACCAUCAUAAGACGUUGUAACAACGUCACAGGACAACUGUAAAUGCCCCUUGUCUUCAUUUAAUUGAUAGGAUCAAUGCAACUCUAUUGAAAAAGUAUGUAAAACAGGGUCUUUAUUUUUUCUUUUGACCCGUUUUAAGUUGUAAAUUUUUCUAUGUGGGAAAGAUGGACACAAUGUCGAUAUGUACUCUAUUUCCAUACUGCCAGC
rnacentral:lncRNA from 1 species